UUGACCUCAAAUCAGGUAGGACUACCCGCUGAACUUAAGCAUAUCAAUAAGCGGAGGAAAAGAAACUAACAAGGAUUCCCCUAGUAACUGCGAGUGAAGCGGGAAAAGCUCAAAUUUGAAAUCUGGCAGUUCUUUACUGUCCGAGUUGUAAUCUAGAGAAGUGUUACCUGUGCUGGACCGUGUACAAGUCUUCUGGAAUGGAGCAUCAUAGAGGGUGAGAAUCCCGUCUUUGACACGGACUACCUGUACAUUAUGGUGCGCUCUCAAAGAGUCGAGUUGUUUGGGAAUGCAGCUCAAAAUGGGUGGUAAAUGCCAUCUAAAGCUAAAUAUUGGCGAGAGACCGAUAGCGAACAAGUACCGUGAGGGAAAGAUGAAAAGAACUUUGGAAAGAGAGUUAAACAGUACGUGAAAUUGCUGAAAGGGAAACGCUUGAAGUCAGUCGCGUUGGCUAGAAAUCAACCUGGCUUUUGCCUGGUGUACUUUCUGGUUGAUGGGUCAGCAUCAAUUUUGACUGCUGGAUAAAGUCACUGGGAAUGUAGCAUCUUUGGAUGUGUUAUAGCCCGUUGUCGCAUACAGUGGUUGGGAUUGAGGAACUCAGCACGCCGCAAGGCCGGGUUUUUAAACCACGUUCGUGCUUAGGAUGCUGGCAUAAUGGCUUUAAUCGACCCGUC
rnacentral:rRNA from 1 species